rnacentral:rRNA from 1 species
CUUGAAAUACCACCCUUUAAUGUUUGAUGUUCUAACGUUGACCCGUAAUCCGGGUUGCGGACAGUGUCUGGUGGGUAGUUUGACUGGGGCGGUCUCCUCCUAAAGAGUAACGGAGGAGCACGAAGGUUGGCUAAUCCUGGUCGGACAUCAGGAGGUUAGUGCAAUGGCAUAAGCCAGCUUGACUGCGAGCGUGACGGCGCGAGCAGGUGCGAAAGCAGGUCAUAGUGAUCCGGUGGUUCUGAAUGGAAGGGCCAUCGCUCAACGGAUAAAAGGUACUCCGGGGAUAACAGGCUGAUACCGCCCAAGAGUUCAUAUCGACGGCGGUGUUUGGCACCUCGAUGUCGGCUCAUCACAUCCUGGGGCUGAAGUAGGUCCCAAGGGUAUGGCUGUUCGCCAUUUAAAGUGGUACGCGAGCUGGGUUUAGAACGUCGUGAGACAGUUCGGUCCCUAUCUGCCGUGGGCGCUGGAGAACUGAGGGGGGCUGCUCCUAGUACGAGAGGACCGGAGUGGACGCAUCACUGGUGUUCGGGUUGUCAUGCCAAUGGCACUGCCCGGUAGCUAAAUGCGGAAGAGAUAAGUGCUGAAAGCAUCUAAGCACGAAACUUGCC